AGUUAGGGAUGCCGGAGGAUGAGGAAGGAAGGGGAAAACAAAACAAAAUGAGUGCUUAGAAUCGCAAGGGACGGUUCACAUUCUCUUGAUAAAUUUGAUUGCGCAAAGGAAUAAAAAACCGCCGCAAUGCAACCGUUGAGAACAGUUAAUUGAAUUUGUUUGUGUGUUAAUAACUCUCUUUGUGCAGAGACGAACAUGGAGUUUUUACUGGGCAAUCACGGCGCAAUUUGAGGUUGUUACCUGCUUGUGUGUUUGUGCGACAGAAAACUGGCUGCGUUGCAGAAGUAAUGUUUGCCCUUUUUUUUAAUGUUGUUCAUAAUGUGUGGCCUUUGGGGAUGGAGAACCAGCAUCAGCUGGCAGAUUGUAUUGAUUCAGAGCAUCUAAAUCUGCUUUUUUUAAAGUGCGGCGCGGGAGGGCCCGCGAGGUUCACACGAACAGAUUUAUUUAAUGCCUUUUCUUUGGUUGCUUCUUUAACAACUUAUUGACCGAUUCCAACCUUGUGAUUUUCCCAUCGCGUCUCUAUGUCGCUUUCUGCUCUCGUCUCUCUUUUUUCUUAUAGAUUCCAUAACAUGGUCUCACUCCAAAACACCUUAUCUAUUUUCACUUACUCCUAUUAUGUAAUGGAAAAUUUCCACAUUCCCCAGAAAUACAGAUGCAGUAACUAUCCCUUGCCGCUCACGCACCAGCAGGUUUCUGGUUCCACUGCUUCACUCCUCGCUCAAAGGGCACAUACUAAUCUGCCGUAGUCUGCUGGCCUCGACAUCCACAGAGUUUUCCCCCCUGUGAUACCGAUCGGCCUGUAUUACAGCUUCUCAUAGCAGUGGAUGCUUUGUAUUCACAGCCCAACAAGUGGAAUACUGUGCUCUGCGGAAGCAGACAGAAAAAGAGGCUGCACUCCUUUGUGGUGGGAUCUAACAGGAUCUCAUGUGUGCGUGUGUGUGUGUGUGUGUGUGUAUGCGCGUGUUUUGCAUGUGUGUGCCCGGUGUUGCAAGUGCCGGCUUGAUAAAUAUAAUGUCUUUUGCAUGCAAGUGGUGUAUUGGGAUACUGUGCAGAAGGGCUUUAUUAAAUAAUGUAUUAAAAAAAAAAAAAAAGUAUGACAGCUGCAAAGGAGAUAAAUGGGAAUAAGGCAUUGCUUUGCAAAGUAGAAGGAAUUCAGUUGAAUAAAGCCUCCAACUCUAUACGCCACCGGUGUACGGAAAAUGUGUCCUUUAAGUCUGCGGUCGCUGUCUGUUUGAAUGAGGUUAAGAAAACAUUCAGAGGUACCGUGCUGUGAUUUUCAUGUGCCGCCAGUUUUCAUGUUUCAUUAAUCCUGUGUGAGUUUGUGAACUACCUGUAUAUGUGUGAACGUCGAUGCAUGUGCGAUCAUCCGUGCAUUCGUGCGGUUUGUAGAAAACCUCCCCAGGUCCUGUGCCUUGUCAUAGCUGCUGCGUGUACACUGCGGAUGAAACAAAGUGGACAGGCGGAGUUCCGGUCCAGAGGCAUGCGUGAUAGAAGCGCGGGCGUGCACAUGUGACAUAUGAGUUGCCAUGGAGCCGUGGUGAUGCUGCGGCCCAUAAUCAUGAUAUGUACAUCUUUAAAAUGUAGGGCUUGAGAUUAAUACAGAUUGACGGUGUCUUUGUGUUUGUUCGCACUCUGAGGCCAAUAUGCCUUCUUCAAUGUUGAAUUCUAGAUUUCUUUUGAAUAUGGUUAUUAAAGAGGGAGAGAAGAAUGAGAGUGAGGGAAAGAGAGGGUACAAGGAAGACAGCUGUUGAGUUUAUACUAUAAUAGCUUUAGACUGCACUAAGGUAGUUCAAUGUAAAUGUGGCUCUCCCCAGUGGAUAGAAGUCUGCAUAUAUUAUUGAAUUAAUUCUUGAAACUGUUAAACAGACUAUUUAACAGAGCGAAGGAGGCUUGAGGCAGGUCAAAAGUCUGCAGCGUGACAAAACUCUAAUCCAGAUACACGCACAUUGGGUGGUUCCAACAAGUAACAAGCCGUUUCUACAGGAGAUUAAAGGUUACUAAAUAUGAAAUCCCAACACACAUUUGGCUACAUUUAGGUUCAAUUGAGAAAAGUACUGAUUAUUGUGCAGUCAACAUGGCUUUAAUAUAGUUUUUCACAUUGCUUAUUUAGUUUUAACAUAGUUUAAAUAACGUAAACCAUAAUGUUAAUACCAUUAUUUGAUGAACUGGAUUAAUAUCUGCUUCAGAUGGGGAAAUAGCUGCCUUCUUUGUUUCCAAAAUACCACCAAAGCUGCGCUCUGCCGGAUCUCCUUUUUCAGAGGGGAGUCAAAUUAAAGCAGUAGAACUUCUAUUUACUUCAACCAGAAAAACGUCCACAGCCGCGCAUUCAACGAAAGUGUUGCUGAGUGGAGAGAUUUGGUUUCACGUGGAGUAGCUUUUUUGGAAAGUGGUGUUGUUGGAUCUCACCCUGAGUGCUUUUGAUUUCUCUUGUGUGUUUGGAGUCUGUGUCCUCUGGCCACGAAUGCCACGUGUAGGUGUACCGCAUGGCAGCACAAAUGUUUUGCGCUAACGGCUCAAAGUGAGUGUUUGCAGAGGGUUUGUGGCACUUGAUUUGGACUGAUUUCAAAAGUGCCAAAGAGCUCCAGCGUUUUCUCAUGUUUCCCAUUGGACCACAUCUUUUGUUGUUGUCUGUGUUCAUUCACUCGUUCAUUCAAGUGGACUCACACACAACUGUGAAAAUGUUCCGGCGUUAAAACAUUUUGACGUGAAGUGACACAUUUCUUUUUUCUUCAGUUUUUGAUACUUUUUGACGCAAAUCUAAACAUAUGUGCUUCCAUUUUCAUUUUUACAUACUCAGUAUACUCUUACGCCACCUUUGAAUUGGUGCUUUUGUGCUGUGUACAAAUGAGGGGCAGCAAUCCCCUCAUUUUCUUUGGAUUAGGAAAAGAGCAGGUUUUCUAGUAGCAUAGAAAUUAAGUGGGGUGCAUACAGACUCUUCUUGAGAGGAGAGGGAAUUCUGCCAUAUCCCUCUGCCCACAAAAGACAGGAUUAUGUGUGCUGAAUAUCGUGGAAUUUAAUGGAGGGUAUAUUCAUUCAGGUGUGAUGGCGUCCUUAUCGUUCAAAUUAGAUUUUCUUCUGUGACGCCUUUUUAAUAGUAGUACUAACAAAAGGCCCAGUGUCCGAAAACCAAGUGCAUUUCUAAGGAUGUGCAAGUGUGCAGACAAGGAAAACAAUUAGGUAAAAAUAAAUGCUUCGGCUCAAAUCAGAUUAUUUAUCCCAGCUUUAAGCGUCUAAAAAUGAUUUAGCGCAGUUAAUAACAUGACGGACUCGCUCAGAGACAUCCAGGGCCGAUGGAGCCGAGCGAUGGUCCCUCCCCGUCCCCGAUGCCUUUGGUGAUUUACGUCUCCCUACUGAACAUUGAGACCAGAGGCUGUGUCAUCAUCUGGCCCUCCGACUACCAUCACAGCAAUUAGACAGGUAGAUGAAAUGAGACUGUCGCAGAGGGCAGCCGUGUAAUUAAACUUGGGGUGAAAGGCCACGGGGCUCCUAUGAAGUAAUGCCCCUCUGGCCCACACGGUGUGUGAAUGCAUCGCCAUGGAGACCCAAGGGUGUCAUCAACAAGGUGUAUCUCUGCUGCGUACAUGCUGUCUGGGCAUCAUGGUCGCAGGAAGAAGCACACGCGCUAUAUACGGAAAACCUCGAAUAGAAGAAUCAUUAUACAGGAGAAAGCUCUUAUCUUCGAAUUUAAAUUCACAACCAAUCAUGAGUAUUGUAUUGUCAUAAGCUGCCCAAAAAGCACACUAAUAAUUUAAAACAAGCACGCGCCAUGUCAUUUGACCACUCGUUUGUAUGUUUAUCGCAAAAAAAAGCAGCCGCUCUAGUUGUCAAUCUUGUCCUAUCACUUAAAUCUUGAAAGCCACAUAGUUGUCUGUAUCUUAUAUACAUAAUAAACCACCAAAUAUGUCGCAAAAGUAGCAAAAUUCAUAGCAUGAUGCAUUUGAAAAUGUAGGUACCACAAAUAAUAAGUAAUUAUUAGGAUGAAAUGUUCGGUGAAGUCAUCGGUUUCCAGGACGUCUCGUGCAACAGGCAUUAAUCUAAAAGAUUAAGUAUGCUAUAAUAACGUCCUCGUUUCUGUGCGGUUUAAUAGAAAAUGAGAUGUGAUUGUUGGCGCUCCGAUUAGUUUCGUCAUAUACGGCCUUUGCUGAAGCCACUCCCACGAGGGCGCUCUGCUGACCUGGAGAGGUUUGGUUGUAGUUAACAGAGGCUGUAAGAGGCCAAAUCGAAUUGCUUGUCGGCUUAUGGAAUGCUGCUUGAAGCGGUUGUUUGCCACUCAUCAGAUUUCAAAGUUGCCUCGCGGAUGUUAACACUGUUUAUUGAAAAGAGCAAAGCGAGCGAUUACCAUAACACGCGGUACCCCGACUCCGCAGGAACACAGCUGCGUGUUUUGUUCCCAGCAUCUUAAUCCCCCGCAGAAAAAACUACGACUUUUUCUCCCGAGCCUUGAGCGCCGUCUGCGGACUCGCACGCAUGCUUCCCACUGCACGCUGUGACGCGCUGCGACGCGCGCUCUGUGCUUAAACACAGCCUGACGCAUUGGGACACGUGGGAUCGUGUGCUGUUACAAUUACAAGCUCAGCAGAAGCCUUUAUUCAAAGAAUAUUUCCUGAGCUUUGCUUUCCUCCAGUGAGAGUCCGGGUCAUUUUUCUUGCUCUUUGUGACUGGCUUAACCCUCUAAAUUAAAAAAAUAUCUAAUGACUGAUCUUGAAAGUAAAGGGAAGGAGCAUAAAACCAUGAAAAAUAUAAUUAGAAAGAUGUUCUUACAUUAAAGGUAUAAUCCACUUUAAACUUGACAGUAAGACAUUCUCACCAUUUUUGUGUAGGCGGAUUUAAGCAGAUUUUCCAGCCUAAUCCCAAAACACAAUCUCUUCUCGGAUACGUAUGGAUCUUUUUAUUUUCACUCACAGUCGGUCACUCCACAUUAACAUUAAAAUCAGCCAUUAGUUCCAUAUGACUCUCACUAUAUGCGCUCAAGUGAAGCAGAAAAGCGGCGGUGAUGCUUUGAUAGGUUUUUACAGCCCGACAGCGUUUUAAUUCCCCUCGCGGUUUCCGGUAUCGCAGCGGUCCAAUCUCCUCUCACCAAACCGUCAGCACCUUUCUCCCGGACCCAAUUUAGCCGCUGAUCCCGAUUCCAGCAUGCCGGACACCCAAGAGAUUCAGAACAGUGCUUUUGGUGGAAUAUAACCGCAGCACCUUGGAGGAAUAGGCCGCCCGGAAAUGUAAUCAGAUGGUGCCAAUCUCCGGCCAUCACUUGGACUGGCUAGUGGGUCUCUUCAGUGGAGAUGGUUUCUGCAUGCGCGGAUCCUUUAUUUGGAAUGAGAGCAGAAGUGAAUCUCAAACCAGUGCGCAAAACAUCAAAGUCUCAAAUGCCCGUUUGUUGUGAAUGUCCCUCGUUGGGUCGGAUCUCAUUUAGCAGAGGAUGUUUUGUUAAACUCGCCCGCCUAGUAAAACAAACUGCUAAUUCAACACGGCAAAGUUUUCUAUAAUUAGGAAAGCAGGGUUCUUCGCUUGGACGGAAGAGUGUUCAUCGGUUUGAGACACGGAAGACGGAGGGUCAUUAAAUAUAUUUUUUUCAAUUUUACAAUAAAAUUAACAUCACAUCCAGGAAACAUUCUCCAAACUGAUAAUAUCCUGAAGUCAUUUGGCUCCAAUUGAGUCAUUUUGUACGUUCUCAAAAGCUCCGGUACGAUUAUCAGUAAAUUGAAGUAGUUGACGGUGUGUUAAACCCUCAUACAAAUGCGCUAUAAAUCCUAUGCAGCUUAAGCUAUGACGAGAAUGUAGCUUAUGGGAUUCUUUCCUCCACUAAAUCUAUUUCCAAAGUCAUCGCAAAUGAUUAGUGCUGCCAUUAAGGCUUUUCAGAGGUAUUUCUUACAUGGCAAAUUUACAACACGUGAAUCGCUAUGAAGGGCCUGCCACUGGAAGAUUAACGUGCGAGCACUUAACCUAUUGGACGUCCUCAUACUGUGAAAUGGGAAAGACACGGGAGACGUGGCAAGAAGUGGACGGACGCAUACCCGCCCAGGCUGCCGGCACGUGCGGUACACCGAGGAACUGCACUCAUUAUGUGGUCUUGGUUGUCCCUUAAGGCGGGGUGUUUAAUGACUGUAAAUACCUAUGGAGAGAACGAGAGGGCAGGUCCGCUCACAUCAAUCCUCCUGUGAGUGCGUCCGGGUGUGAACGUGUUGUAAUUUGCCGCUUCUCACUGUGAAUUUGCGAGCGUGCGGGACGGCGCUUUGCGAUGCAGUUACAGGCCUCAUAACUGCACUGCGUGUGUGUGUGUGUUUGCCCUUUACGUGCUGGAGGCCGUGUGGAAUGAGAGCCACUGUCAGAGAUGGACAGCAGGAAGUGGCGGCAGGAAAUAUGAACCCGUCCGCUAUGUUCAAUGGAGCAGGCAAUUACACCCUUCAUAAGGCUGUCACGUUUGCCAGAAGGAGAUACACACACACAUAGUAUCAGAUCGUUUACUUUGGUUAAAAGGAGGGUAAUAAUAAUGGGUUUUAUGCCAUUAUGACUAACUUUGAUUUACUUGAGUUCAAGGAAACCAGCCACAUUCAUUAAAACAAGGCAGAUGGGCCUAUUGACAAUAGCAAUUAGACAAGUAUUUAAUGGCUAAACAGCACAGGAACAGUAUUCCAUAUUGAUCUCAGACACUAAAUGACAAUAUGAGGUAGAAAUAUUGCAAACAAAUGUGACACCAGCUGCAUCAAUGUUAACGUACUCUACUGCAGGUAAAAAUCCUGCGUUCUUAACGCCGUCUCCCAAAAGCACUGCUAACAAUGCUAGUGCUUGUUUUGCCACAUUACACGUAUCUUUACCUAACCAAUACUUCUCAGUGUUCAGUGGUGGUUUUGUUGUCGUUGUAGCAGAACACUGCUUGAGCAAAUGUCCUUUUACGUGUGCGUUUCUUUCCCUGCUCCCGUUUUCGUCCUUUAAACACUCGCGUCCACACCGACUCUCGUUAAGGGGGCGUUAAGCUGCUGAGCACGACGGGACGUGUUGCGUUGUAUCUGAUCAAAUCGAUCGCUAUUUCUCUCUCACACGCACGUUUCCUUUCCCCUGGUUUCCUACUGCGGUCAGCUAUGAUGGGACGAUUGGAAGGUGUCGCCUGCAACGGGUCUGUCCGGUCUGUGUGAGAUAGAUAGAUUAGCUGUGUGUGUGUG
ensembl:lncRNA